rnacentral:rRNA from 1 species
UACGUAGGGGGGCUAGCGUUGUCCGGAUUUAUUGGGCGUAAAGAGCGUGUAGGCGGCCAGGUAGGUCUGCUGUGAAAACUCGAGGCUCAACCUCGAGACGUCGGCGGAAACCAUCUGGCUAGAGUCCGGAAGAGGAGAGUGGAAUUCCUGGUGUAGCGGUGAAAUGCGCAGAUAUCAGGAAGAACACCCGUGGCGAAAGCGGCUCUCUGGAACGGUACUGACGCUGAGACGCGAAAGCGUGGGGAGCGAACAGG